rnacentral:rRNA from 1 species
GACGAACGCUGGCGGCGUGCUUAACACAUGCAAGUCGAACGGAAAGGCCCUGCUUUUGUGGGGUGCUCGAGUGGCGAACGGGUGAGUAACACGUGAGUAACCUGCCCUUGACUUUGGGAUAACUUCAGGAAACUGGGGCUAAUACCGGAUAGGAGCUCCUGCUGCAUGGUGGGGGUUGGAAAGUUUCGGCGGUUGGGGAUGGACUAGCGGCUUAUCAGCUUGUUGGUGGGGUAGUGGCUUACCAAGGGUUUGACGGGUAGCCGGCCUGAGAGGGUGACCGGCCACAUUGGGACUGAGAUACGGCCCAGACUCCUACGGGAGGCAGCAGUGGGGAAUAUUGCACAAUGGGCGGAAGCCUGAUGCAGCAACGCCGCGUGCGGGAUGACGGCCUUCGGGUUGUAAACCGCUUUCGCCUGUGACGAAGCGUGAGUGACGGUAAUGGGUAAAGAAGCACCGGCUAACUACGUG